UCGCUGACCGCGCCCUCUCCGCCAUUCGGGCAUCUCCGGCAGCACUCGGCUCUUUCCACCGCCCACCUCCGAACCAGACCCCUUUCGCUAUAACCAGUUCAUUUACGCUCCCCCUAAUUAGCGCCCUAUGACAGAGCCUGCCAGGAGAGGAGGGGCGAGGGCAGAGGGUGCUCUGGGUGCGAGAUGAGGGGGAAGGAUAAGCGGGAUCCCCCAGGCAAAAUUUUUUUACAAUUGCAGGGAAAGGGCAUUCCCCCUUAGUUUAAAAAAACUUUUUUCAUCACUGGAGAGAUUUAAAGUGAGGAAAACCCCUCUUUUUCCAAUACUUAAGGAGAGUAAAAGGGCAGAAGUUAUUUAUUUGCCAUUGUAUUAGUUUCAGUAGAGGCAACUGCCCCAUUUCCUCCUAUUAAGGGGUUCACUAGAAGGAAGCUCUGCCUUUUUCAGCAUUUUAAGGGCAUUAAGCUAUGCUACCUAAACACAAACGUUUAUGUCUUACCAGUUUCCUGUUCUUCUGCUCCAAGUAGUUGAUGCAAAAAGAAAACGCUGUUAUUUUUCUGAAGAGUUUUCUUCUUUAACAAGCCCUUUACUCUCUUUGAAUUUGAGUCAGAGGAGCCAAACAGCUGCAGCUGCUCUGAGGGCUUUUAUACCCGGUGGGAUUUGCCCCCUCCCUUUUCCUGGGUGCCAUGGGAACGAGAGGCGGGCACCAUCAGGGGUAUAUUAACCCCAGCCUUGGCCGAGGGGCUUCAUACCCUCUCUGGGAUGUGCUGGGGUGAGAGCUCUCCUCUCAUUUCAGUGAAAAGGCUCUUUCAGCUCAUCUCAGCUUGUUUCCAGCAGGUGUUUCUGGGCAUCUAAAGCAGCAGAGGCUUGGAAGAGACUAUGAAGAAAACAGCAUGGAAUACAGGGAGAGGAGCACACCUUUCAGAGAUUGCAGGUUGUGUCAGGCAAAACAUUUUUUCAGCAGAUUCAUCGUGUCACAGGAGGGAUCUUCACAGUGUCCAAGAUGAUGCUUGAGAUUGGGGCUUCAAGUGCCACUGCUAAUAAAGGCCGCAGCCUUGGAAUCAGGAUGAAGCUGGAGCCUGAAUGAGCCAGGCACACUCAGGAGAGGGCAAGUAGCUGACUUGCUGGGAUUCGGCCCACAUAACUCUGGACUCACACUUUGGUUUUGGUUUUCUUUGUUGCAGCUGACCCACAGGCUAACAGGCCAUCACGGGGCCCUCCAAGGCAGACUCAUUUCAGGUGCAACAUAGAUCCACAUCACCCAUCAUCCAAAAGAUAAGUUGGGGGCCAGGGCUUGGACAUGGGACUAUGGGAGAGUAGCAGGUUGGGAGUUCUUGGGACAAAUUUAAAAAUUAGCAGAGGGAAAAGCAAACUUCCCCAAGGGCCUCUUAGGACAGCUAAAGGGAGAGGCUCUACUUUUGAUGGCAGCUUUCAGGCAGGCAGUGCAGAACAGUUCCGGUCUGUGUCAUGUUGUCCAAUGUGCCGUGUUACCUAGUGUGUCUUUGGGGUCCCUUUUACCUUCCCUCCUCGAUGCCCUCACCACAAGCAUGAUGCGUCUUGUUUAAUGUCCCCCUGUUUGUCACGUUCUGUGUUACGGGUGUCUGCACACAUUUGUGCUGGAGCUGCACUGCCCUGCCGCAUUGCCGCUGCAAUAGGACAAGCCUGGGGAGUUGAAAUUUGUAGUUUGGGUGUACUUGGGCUCUAGAUGCUAUUCCUAGGUUGACAUAAGGUGUUUGCAGCUUGUGAGUUAUCCUGGUGGUGUUUGACAUAUGUUCUAACUUUCUUUCAGGUGCAGAUGCAUUGCAUCCAUGGCAGAGGGUCAGGGUUAGGAGAUGCCGGGCCUUCUUAGGAGCACGCUGUCUGAGAGACACCAGCCCGGUGCCAGCAGGACCUUCCCAGCUGGCGAGGUGGCCUUUCUUUGCACCUGAUAUGGACCAGCACCCCCUGAUAUCUGAGAGAUAAGUAGAGGGCUAAGACCCACAGAGGGGAUGAAAGCAGGGUGCUGGUUUGGGAAUUACUGGGAGGGGCUUUUGAGUCCGCUUUGGGGGUGGGGGGUGUUCAUGAAGUGGCCCCUUGGGCCCCAUAAAAGCAAAGUCUCACUUUUGAUCGCAGUGCUGAGGUGCGCAGCUGGGCAGAGCAGCUCCAGUGUGUCUCGUGUCACUUGUCUAUCAUUCAUUAUGUGUUGUUUGGGUAUCUCAGGUAUUUUACUUUAUCCCUUUGUGAGGCCUGUCAGAAACCUUGGCACCAUUCUUAGCAUCCAUGAUCUCAGCAUUCCUUGCCCUGGCACCCAUGCCAUGGAACUUUUGACUGGGGAGCUCAGGCAGGCAUCAGAAAUGCCUCUCUCUUUGGAAGCAUCCUGUCAGAUGUCUUGUCAGGUCUUGUUCUGAGCUGUAUGGACAGCUAUGCCCCGCCAGGAUCCAUUAUGGCUGAUUAGGACUUGUAAGAAUGCGAGGUUAGAGAGAGGAUUCUGACUGUAGGAUUCCUAGGCAUCCAUCUUUGCAGUUCUUGGAAUAAAUCAUUCAGUUAGCAUUGUCUUCCUCCAGGGUUCUCUGAGCCUCAUCAGCUCCCCAUUGGUUUCAUCUUGGUUAUCUCCUUUUGCAUCCUCUCAGUCCUUGCAGCCAUUUUCCUUGCCAAGAGAUUUCUGUCUGUGUUGUGUCCCCAUUGUCUGUCCCGUCCUGUCCUGUGUCACGGCUGUCAGCACAUGUUUGUGCCAGAGCUGCUCUGCCCUGCUGCAUAGCCUGGUGCAAUAGGAGGCAUCUCGUGGGCUUGGAAUUUGUAAUGUGGGGUGUAGUUGGACUCUAGAUGGGAUUUGUAGAUGGAUACAGGAUAUCUGGAGCCCAUAAGUUAUCCUGCAGCCCUUUGACUUUCAUCCUAACUUUCUUUUAGUUGUAGAAGGAUAAAAUCCAGGGCAGAGCCACCCAUCCUGGGUGAGGGGAUUCCGCUGUGCAUGUCAGUCACUGUUUGUCUCUGCAGAGGAAGCAUAAAUGGUGGCUGUUACAGCUCUGCUCUUUGUCUUUAUUUUUAGGAAGUCAAGGCAAAGAGCAGCUGUCAAGGCGGAGUGGGCAAGAUGGUCUGCUUGCCAUCUAUCCUACCCCAGCAUGUCCAUGCCAGGUGCUGUCGCUGUCCUAGGCAUGACCAAGGAACAGAGGAGGGCAGGUUAGUCGGUGUUUAGGCAGGCUGACUCAUAGGCAAGCGUUAUGCAGCAGCAUGCUAAGCAUGUCCCUUUUCCUUUUUGCAGGUACCUUCUGGGCGGCCUCCGGAGUCAAAUCAACAUUUGAGGUACCCUGGGGAGGCUUGUAGCCACAGCUUGGAAGCAGCAGCACCGAAGCACACACAUUGAGAACAUCUCAAUGUCUGCAUCCGACCGACGAUGGCUUUUGUCCGCUCGUCUUCCAAAAGCUAAGUGUCGGGGCCAGCGGUCGGGAGAAGGGGAAAAGCCUUUACUAUCACAGGAGGCAAUCUGAUGUCAGCUUAGCGGAGAGGUCCGUAGUGGGACAGACUCCCUGGAAGUAAAGGGAGAGGGUUUCUCCUCAGCCUCACCAGAGCCUUUGCCGGGCAGGACAGUUCCAACCCAUCUCCACAUUCUCGUGAACUUUGCGUCGUCAGCCUUCCUCUACUCAACGUCGUCACGGCUCUUUCCCCCGAGGAGCUCACCUUCAGGUCUAGAGCUAUAGCCACAGUCACCCGGCCGUCCGCUUCCUUCUCUAGGCUUGCUGAGCCUCUCGGGCAUCCUCCUAACUGCUUUGGCCCUAACUUCCUUUAAAGAGCUACAUUUCAUCAUCACGUGCUGUCAUCAUACGGCUUCCUUUCCCUUGGCCUCAUCGGCCUCUGGCUCGUCUUGCGCUAGGACUCUCGGGUCCCUAAGGGGAAAGUGCCAAGCAGUUGCAACUUGUCUCUGGGUUAUGUCAUCUGUGUCUAUGUUAUGGUGUCCGUGUCUGUGUUAUGUAGUCUGUAUCCAUUGUCUUCCACGUCAUAGGCCUUUAUUACAUCUCGAUGCUUUAUCGGCACUAUUCUAUGCCAUAUAGGCCGUGUUCUACUCACAUUCCUUUCCGGAUAUCCCUUAUUCCGGCAUCUUUACAUUUUUACUCUUUGAGACAGGAAUGUCUUACAGGGACAAGAUGUUCUCAUCCAUCUUCCUUCUCACUACCAGCUUUGGUAGUGCCUUUUUUCCAUUUUCUUGGACUUCUAGAGGGAGCAUCUUACACCCUUCUCAUGUGACUGCAGUAGUUCUAUAGAUUCCAUCUUCUCAAAGGUUAUAGGGCUCAAGAAUUAAUCUUCCAGAGAGUUAUCUCCAGUCCUGGCUUGUAUUGUAUGUACCUAUAUUGUGUGUACCUAUAUUGACCUAUGUUGUAUGUACUUACAUUGUAUGUACCUCUGUUGGCUUAUACUGUGUGUACUUACACUGUAUGUAAGCGCAUCGCUCUAUAUUAUGUGUAUUUAUGCUCUGUGUGUACUUGCACUGUAUGCAUCAGCUUAUAUUGUGUGUACUUACAUUGUACCACUUAUGAUCUGAGCUGCCCUGCCCUGGUACAUAGUCACAGUUAGGUAGAACAGUUAUAGAAAUUUUACUGUUCAACUGUCUUCUAUGGGAUUUUGGGUAGAAAACUUAUCAGUCCAGAUUGGGGACAAGUCCCAGCUGUCAGAUAGCCACUCGUUGACCCUUCCUGUCAUCUCACAGGUCCCCGACGCUGCUGACUUCCCCAGUGUGGGAAUCCAUAAAGUUAGAGGGUUUUUAGGAAAUGGUUAAAAAAGAGUAUUUAGGCCUCAGGAUGUGGCCCGAAGUUCUGUUACAGCAGAAAAGUUUCCCAAGCAGUAGACAUGACAAAUAACAAUAGGACUUUGUAGAUUUUGCUUUAGGAUGGCAACAAGUUUAUUUAAUGUAUAUCUUUAGAAGGUUACUGUGAAUAGAGCUCUGUUCUUUGUCUUUUAUGAACCAGUCUUUGUUCUAAGUACUAUUACGUAUGUUUUAUAAGGAUUGGAUGGAAAGCUUGUCAAUAUGUCUUGUUUUGGUGUGAUUGAUUGAAAUCUAAACUGAGAUGGUUUUAUGUCUUUCCGUUUUACCCCACCUUUGGGGGCAUUUUCCAUUAGGCCAGCAUGCUGUUAACAUCUAACAAUGUUCUGAGGCUGAUGAUACUAAUAAAU